rnacentral:tRNA from 2 species
GCUGGAGUAGCUCAGUUGGUAGAGCGCUUGAUUCGUAAUCAUGAGGUCGGAGGUUCGAUUCCUCUCUCCAGCACCA